rnacentral:rRNA from 1 species
CCCCCCCCCUACUCCUACGGGAGGCAGCAGUGGGGAAUAUUGCACAAUGGGCGAAAGCCUGAUGCAGCGACGCCGCGUGAGGGAUGACGGCCUUCGGGUUGUAAACCUCUUUCGACAGGGACGAAGCGCAAGUGACGGUACCUGUAGAAGAAGCACCGGCCAACUACGUGCCAGCAGCCGCGGUAAUACGUAGGGUGCGAGCGUUGUCCGGAAUUACUGGGCGUAAAGAGCUUGUAGGCGGCUUGUCGCGUCGAUCGUGAAAACUUGGGGCUCAACCCCAAGCUUGCGGUCGAUACGGGCAGGCUUGAGUACUUCAGGGGAGACUGGAAUUCCUGGUGUAGCGGUGAAAUGCGCAGAUAUCAGGAGGAACCACCGGUGGCGAAGGCGGGUCUCUGGGAAGUAACUGACGCUGAGAAGCGAAAGCGUGGGUAGCGAACAGGAUUAGAUACCCUGGUAGUCCACGCCGUAAACGGUGGGUACUAGGUGUGGGUUUCCUUCCACGGGAUCCGUGCCGUAGCUAACGCAUUAAGUACCCCGCCUGGGGAGUACGGCCGCAAGGCUAAAACUCAAAGGAAUUGACGGGGGCCCGCACAAGCGGCGGAGCAUGUGGAUUAAUUUGAUGCAACGCGAAGAACCUUACCUGGGUUUGACAUACACCGGAAACCUGCAGAGAUGUAAGGCCCCCCUU